rnacentral:rRNA from 1 species
GGACUACUGGGGUUUCUAAUCCUGUUUGCUCCCCACGCUUUCGCACCUCAGCGUCAAUAUUGGCCCAGGUCGCCGCCUUCGCCACUGGUGUUCCUCCCGAUAUCUACGAAUUUCACCUCUACACCGGGAAUUCCGCGACCCUCUUCCAUAUUCAAGUCCGGGAGUUUCGAAUGCACUUCCUCGGUUGAGCCGAGGGAUUUCACACCCGACUUUCCGGACCGCCUACGUGCGCUUUACGCCCAAUGAUUCCGAGCAACGUUUGCACCCUCCGUAUUACCGCGGCGGCUGGCAC